rnacentral:rRNA from 1 species
CAAUAGCGUAUAUUAAAGUUGUUGCAGUUAAAAAGCUCGUAGUUGGAUUUCGGUUAAGAGCGACCGGUCCGCCGUUUGGUGUGCACUGGUUGGUUUUAACUUCCUGUAGAGGACGUGCUCUGGGUUUAACGACCUGGACUCGGAGUCUACGUGGUUACUUUGAAAAAAUUAGAGUGUUCAAAGCGGGCUUACGCUUGAAUAUUUCAGCAUGGAAUAACGCUAUAGGACUCCUGUCCUAUUUCGUUGGUCUCGGGACGGGAGUAAUGAUUAAGAGGAACAGUUGGGGGCAUUCGUAUUUCAUUGUCAGAGGUGAAAUUCUUGGAUUUAUGAAAGACGAACUUCUGCGAAAGCAUUUGCCAAGGAUGUUUUCAUUAA